AGUCAGUUCCUCACAGGCUGCUGGCUGGAGGCCUCCCCUCUGUUCCUGGUCACGUGGCCCCAUCCCAGGGCGUUCGCAACAGGGCAGCUGGCUUCCUGCAGAGCAGAAUGUGUCAGAAGCAUGGCCUUUGGAAAAGGUAACAAGAACAAAAUCCGGGAUUGGAUCACGCUAUGGUUUCUCAUCACUGAAACAUUACAGAAUGGCUGGCUAACGCUGUGCAACAAAAUUCUUGAAAUGGAACUGCUUCAGUAAAUCUGAGGAAGAGGGACUUCCCUGGUGGUGCAGUGGUUAAGAAUCUGCCUGCC